AGUGGCAUUUGAGAUCAAGCCUUCCACCGAUCCAUUUGCGAUCAAAACGGCUCCUAUUGAUCAUCCACCUCCUCCUAGUGUUAGGAACUGGCUUCCAUGGGGAAGUUCCAAAAGGAUUACACCUUCAGUGGGAAGUUCCAGAAGGUAUGCCAUGUCUAUUGGAGGUUUGACACAAAGGACUUCUAGUAGCCACUUUUGUGAUCUAGACCUUGAUGACGACGACGAUGAGUAUGAUGGACUCAUGGCAGAUAUUGAAGAAGGUUUCGACAAAGAGGAGGAACGGAAAGAAAGUUCUCUUGAGAGAUCACCUACACAACUACUAACCAAAGUUGCCAAGAAGCCGAAAGAUGCUAGAUUGUCGGUUAUAUUGCUUGAUCAAGGAUUGUUCACUGUGUACAAGCGCCUCUUUGUGCUUUGCUUGACUAUCAAUAUCACCUUUUUGGUGCUUGCUUGCACCGGAAAUUUCCAGUAUGCUGAAGACAAUGCUGCGCUAUUUUCUAUUGCCAACAUUCUUGCUUUGACAAUUUGUCGUAGUGAAGCCUGUUUACGAGGUGUUUUUUGGCUAGCUGUCAAGGUUUUUGGGCAUUCUUGGGUGCCUUUGCGCCUCAAGACCGCGGUGACAUCAUUUUUACAGUGUCUUGGAGGGAUACAUAGUGGCGCUGGAGUCUCGUCAGUGGCAUGGCUGAUAUAUGCAUUAGUAUUAACCAUACAAGACAGAGAGAAUACUUCAAGUGCAAUUAUUGGAAUAGCCUCAACCAUCCUAUCCCUUCUUGUUUUGUCUUGUCUCGCAGCAUUUCCACUAGUACGCCAUCUUCAUCACAACGUUUUUGAAAGGAUUCAUCGGUUUGCAGGUUGGGCUAGUCUUGUACUAGUUUGGGCAUUCAUCACACUCAAAAUUACUUAUGACCCCAAAACAAAGUCAUAUAAAAACUCAUCUGUCUUACUUGAACGCCAAGAAUUCUGGUUUACACUAGCCAUUACCAUCCUUAUAAUCCUCCCAUGGAUGACCAUGAGACGUGUACCAGUCAAAGUCUCAGCACCAUCUGGCCAUGCAUCCAUAAUCAAGUUUCAGGGCGGUGUAAAGUCAGGAAUCUUAGGCAGAAUAAGUCCAUCACCUUUGUCUGAAUGGCAUGCAUUUGGCAUAAUUUCAGAUGGAAAACAAGAGCACAUGAUGCUGGCUGGUGCAGUUGGAGACUUCACAAAGUCAUUAGUCUCUAAUCCACCGAGUCAUUUGUGGGUCCGGACUGUGCAUUUUGCAGGAUUGCCAUAUUUAGUUAACAUGUACAACAGAGUUCUUGUGGUGGCCACUGGAUCAGGUAUAUGUGUCUUCUUGUCAUUCUUAUUGCAGCCAUCGUCUGCAGAUGUUUGCGUGCUUUGGGUGGCCAAAGGAAUUGAACAAAAUUUUGGCAAAGAAAUUAAAGACUGGACUAGCGGAUUCCCGAAAGACAAGGUCAUCGUUCAUGACACCGCAAUACUUGGAAGGCCUAAUGUGUCACAAAUGAGCAUUGAUGCCGCAAAGAAUUGGGGAGCUGAAGUUGUUAUUGUGACCAGUAAUCCUGAAGGGAGUAGAGAUGUUGUUAAUGCUUGCAAGGCCUCUGGAAUUCCAGCCUUUGGUCCCAUCUGGGAUUCUUAAACAUUAUCAUCCAAAGGCAAUUAACUACCUCGGAACGAGAUAUGUUUUGCAUUUAGAGUUGUUUGUUGGGGUUUCAUAUACAUAAUCAUGUUCUAUCGGAGGCCUGGCCACCAUGGUAGAAAUACAUGUACAAAAAAUUUGAAAUAAUAUUUUAUGCUGAAUUGUAAAAUACCGAUUCAUAGUAGGCAUCUUCAACUAUAAAUAUCAAAAUUUAGAACUGCUUAGCCUGUAUUUUGUACUAUUUGUUAUGCGCAACCAGUUGAUGUCGACAGAUUAUGAUCGCAAAACUGGUUAUCACAUAAUCAUGUUCAAUAAACUGAAAAAAAUUAAGAACUGAAAUGUGUUUGCUUCAGGUUUAUAUGUGCUUACAUAUCUUGACUCUAUCAAAAUGCCCAUCAUCUUAAAGUGACAAUUUAUACUACCAUUGAUCCUAACGGCGUUAAAUGGAAUGGACGGAAGUAUGCUUGUUGCUCAAUUUUGGUAAUUGCGGCAUGCAUUUUGCUAGAUAUUGAAGAUGGAGUGCACAAAAUGCACAAGGAGGCAACUAUAUGCACACAACCUGCAUUUUAUUCAAUUGUUUAUUCCGAGGCCAGCAUCUAUAAUUUCCUUGUUGAUUGAACCGCAACAUGCUAUUAGAGCACCCGUGCUAAAUCCUGCACAACAAUAUGUAAGAAUCAGCAAUUGAGAAAUAGUAACAGCAAUAUGUAACAAAGGGCUUUAAAAAAUUGACAUGAGAAUAUACAAUAGUUGCAUUGCGGGGAUUUAGUAGUCAGCAUAUACAAUGUUGACAUGAGGAUGUGUGAAACUCUUGAAUUCGGGCCAACUGGGUCUCAAACAUAGUAUUAUGCUGCAUACAAAAACUUAAAGCUCUCACCAUCUCCAUGCUCAAGCCGGCCAGCAAUUCGUGAUUGUAGUCUGUUAACUGAGAAAUCCAGGAAUUAACAAAGUUGAGGUCAUUACCAAAAUUAAGACGUCUGACUAUCGCUGCUCGUCGGAAUUCAUCCUAGAGGGUGGUGGUGAUAAAGUCGGGGUUGCUGAGAUAGCAGGCAAGGAUUCGUGAUUACAAAAGAUCUAGGAUUUUUUCCUACCAGUUCAGUUUACUCUUCAACUGCUAUAUUGAAAAGGACCUAAUAUGAUGCGGCCUAGUUAAGGACCUUGAACCGUGCCAGUCGAUUCAGAACUUUUCGAAUCAUAUUCAAACUUGACUAUGUCUUUAUAACUUAACUCAAAUAUUAGAGGGCGCCCUGCUCACCGAUAAGGACAAUCCAAACUCUAGAACAAAGCCAUCCAAAAAAUGUUUAUGAAAAGACCAUACAAGUUCUUCAACAAGAACAACCCAUCAAAAUACUACAAAAUAAAAUCUUCUUCAAUCUGCUUCCACUACUUAAUUCUCACUGAUUAUGACUUCUAAUAUUUACGACAGAGCUCAUCCAUAUCCUAAGGACAUUUUCUUUAACACAAAAUAACUUGUAUUAUCUCAUAUUUUCUUCUUUCUCCAUUAUAUUUCUGUAUAAUUUUCAUUCCAUAUUUUUCUCUUUUCAUUCCAUACAAGAGAAAACAGCUUUAAUCCUGACCUAAUUGCCUAUUUUCAUGUCUUUAGUCCUCAUAUGAGGCCAAGCCAUACAAUUUGGUUGAUAUUAUUGAAUUUCGACUAUAAUAUAGUCAUUUCCCCUUGCCCUCUCCCACAGGUUACACACUUGUUUGAAAGAGCUGAUCAUCUUUUGCUCUCACAUCAACAAAUGGACGUAGUAUUAAACUAGCUACUUGCAACAAAUUCAUUUAUCAUCUCUUGCAAAAGUUAUUGGCCCAAUUCAUUUAUCAGAACAUAAAACUUCUUUUAACUUCUAAUAUUUUGACGACUUGUUUCUGUUAUAACUUAUAACCACAACCUUUCACUGGGUGAAUCAUUUCCUUUUUUAUAAAAGAAGUUGCAGUUGCAGGCUUUCAGUUGCAUAUUUUCAACUAAAUUCAAGAUAACCUUUUCUUUUAUUAAACCUUUUCUCGGCGAUACAUGAUUUUUUCUGUAAAUUCCUCCAAAUUCUUGGUGGCCUACUAUGCCAACAAACUUACACAUCUAUCGAUUUCUCAGUCUAUUUCGACCAUCGAUUUUUUUAUUUUUACUUUUUGUUUUUCAGAAUCAAACUUUGAAGUUUGGCAUUGUUCUGAACCUACAUGAUUUAAAAAUUAGCAGAAGAGGAAAGUGGCUUAAUAUGUACCAUGGUGUAGUCAGUAGAGUGUAUAGAGUGAUUACAACGUUGUUAAUUUUGUUUGAAGGAUAGAUUACAAAGUUGGUUAGUUUAAAAAUAUCGUAUAUAUCAAUUAAUGUUCAAUGCCAUUCUUCUCCUUUGAAAUUUCUAACGCCUUUUUUUAAUUUAACCUUUGAAUGGACAGUAUAUAAUAUAAUCAUUCAAUUUAUGAGGAAACAUUAAUUUAUCAAGAUUGUAAAUUAAUUAAAAAUAAAAAUUUAAGGUCGUUGAUUUUUUUUGAGGAAUGUAAGGUUGUUGUUAUUAUAUUAAAAUCAAAAACUUUAUAAUAAAUAUUAAUUUAUUAUAAAUUAUUAAUUAAUCAAGAUCUCAAUAACCUUUCCACAUAGAUGGGCACCUGUAUAGACUGUAUUGCCGUUUAACAAAAAAGAAUUGAAUUUUGUUUAAAAGUGAAUUGCUUACGACAACUAGAUGAUCAACCCGAAAAGUUUACACUGUACACUAAGAUUCGCCGCCGGACGAUCCUUGUAAAUCGUUGACAGUUAUGAUGAAAAUAACGAUACAACACACACUUGUUGUGUUUUAAAAUACAGUACUAAUUAUUUUUGACUUUUUUCACAUACUAUCUUCUAAUAGUGUACGGCAUGAGUUCUUUCAAAUAUUUUAAUAAUUUUAAAAUAAUGUAUAAUAAUGCAUUUGUUGAUAUUUAAUUUUUUUUUCUUAUCUUUAAAAUUACUAUAGAACUAAUGGGAAUCACAUAUAAUAUAGAAUUGUUUAUAAAAUUUAUUUUAGUAUUGUAACAAUAUGGUUUUCAUUAUUUUAAAAUUAUGAUUAAAAGGAUCAACCAAAUGACAAAUUAAACUAUUAUUAUAGUUUCAAUAUUACCAAUUCAUGUUUUGAAAAUCAUUAUUUUAAUAUUUAUUUUUAAAUUUUCAUUUUUCUGUGUAAAUAUUUGAAUUCAAAUUCUUGUUCAAAAUUUUCUGAAAGAUGGAUCGGUGAAGGUAUGUGUUUUAAAUAUUAAUAAUAAGAAAUAUUUCAAGUACAAAAUUAGGCACAAAAUCUUUCACACAACAUAUGUUGUUUUGUUUGAAACGGAUUUCUAUAUUCGCAUAAAUAAUAUCAAUUCUCAUCUCAAUCGUCAUGUUCUCAACCUUUUGUACCCAAUAUUAUCCGGUUUUAUCCACGCAACAACACUACUCUUACUUAAUACAUAAGAAAUUAAGAACAACUAAUCUAAAGUGACUGCUAUCCGGGAUGAAUGGAGUAUUAUUCUUGGGUAUAAACACAAAGAAACGAAACAACUUUCCUAGGAUAAAAAAGUCCUGACAGCUUAUCUUUUACUAUAAUUUUGACCGGCAAAACUAAUUGCGUGACAAAGUCAAGAGAAGCAUGGAUGUGCAUUGGAACAUAUACCAUACGAGGUGCACUUAUAAAUAGUGAACAACAAAAGUAAGUAACAUCACACACUCAUAUUAUUAUCCUCCUAAAAACAACACUUAGAAAGCUCUUGCUUUGGGAUAGAAUCAAAUGGAUGUGAAAAAACUUGCAAGAUUCUCAAGCUGCAGAGGAGUGGCAUUUGAGAUCAAACCGUCCAGCGAUCCAUUUGCCAUCAAAACGGCUCCCAUUGAUUAUCCACCUCCUCCUAGUGCAAGGCAUUGGCUUCCAUGGGGAAGUUCCAAAAGGAUUACACCUUCCAUGGGAAGUUCCAGAAGGUAUGCCUCAUCUAUUGGAGGUUUGACACAAAGGACUUCUAGUAGCCACUUUUGUGAUCUAGACCUUGAUGACGACGACGAUGAGGAGUAUGAUGGACUCAUGGCAGAUAUUGAAGAAGGUUUUGACAAAGAGGAGGAACA
rnacentral:lncRNA from 1 species